rnacentral:rRNA from 1 species
GACGAACGCUGGCGGCGUGCCUAAUACAUGCAAGUAGAACGCAGUUGCGCACGGGUGAGUAACGCGUAGGUAACUGCCUCAUAGCGGGGGAUAACUAUUGGAAACGUUAGCUAAUACCGCAUACUGUGACAUGGACCUGCGUUGUAGUAGCUAGUUGGUGAGGUAAAGGCUCACCAAGGCGACGAUACAUAGCCGACCUGAGAGGGUACAAGGACCCCCUGGGACUUAGACACGGCCCAGAAUCCAGCCGGAGGACGCCGUCGGGAGUCGUCGGCCCUGGACGGAAGUCUGAACGAGCAACGCCGCGGGAGUUAAGAAGGUUGUCGGAUCUUCAAGCUCUGUUGUUAGAGAAGCGGUAACUAACCAGAAAGGGACGGCUAACUACGUGCCAGCAGCCGCGGUAAUAC